AAGGUUUCCGUAGGUGAACCUGCGGAAGGAUCAUUAUUGAACAAACCGGCGUUGGCUGAGCUGGCCUUUUCGGAGGCAUGUGCACGGCCCGCCAUUGUUUCAUCCUUCUCUUCCACCUGUGCACUUCUGUGGGCCCACUCCAGCGCACCUCGUGUGCUGGACUCUGGUGCCUACGUCUCACUACCUACACCAUUGAAUGUUCAGAGCGCAUGAAUAGGGCAUUCUUGCCUAUAAAACCUUAAUACAACUUUCAACAACGGAUCUCUUGGCUCUCGCAUCGAUGAAGAACGCAGCGAAAUGCGAUAAGUAAUGUGAAUUGCAGAAUUCAGUGAAUCAUCGAAUCUUUGAACGCACCUUGCGCUCCUUGGCAUUCCGAGGAGCAUGCCUGUUUGAGUGUCAUUAAAUCAUCAACCACCUCAUCUUUGAGAGGGUUGGACUUGGAGGUUCUGCUGGCCCUCUCCGGGAUCGGCUCCUCUGAAAAGCAUUAGCAGGGGCUCAUAUUGUGCAUUCUGCAGCCUUGUGUGAUAGUCAUCUACACUCGGCGCGGUCACAUUCACCCAGCUUCCAGCCGUCCGCUCGGACAACAUCUGACCACUUGACCUCAAAUCAGGUAGGACUACCCGCUGAACU
rnacentral:rRNA from 1 species